CCAGGAUGCAUCACAUGGGCCAGCAGCCCAUCCUGCAGCCGGCUGGGAGACGCAGAUGCCCCACCAGCGGUGGGACAAGCCAUGGGGUCUCCCCUACCCCUCCCUCCCUGCCCAAGUCUUGUCCCAGAAAGCAUGUCCCGAGUGAGCUAAGUUGGACCAAACCUCCCUGCCUUCCCCCGUCAUCUCUCGAUCGAUGGCCUGGGGGGAGUUGCCAGGAUGCGGCUGGAGGCAGGCACCGAACAUCAACCUCCCCUGGGAGGGAGAGCACGGGGCUGGUGGGCUCUGCAUCUCCACAGACACCCAGCAAGGAGGUGGCAUCAAUAGCCCACUUUGCAGAGAAGCUCAUGCUUACCCAGGGGUCACAGCUAGGGGAAGAGGCUUGGCAGCUCCUCACGAGAAGACAGCCUUGACUGGCAUUUGGAACUGAAGGCAAUUCCUCUCACCAGCCACAUGGAAGGUCUCAGUCCUCAGUUUCCCCAAGUAUAAGUCUAGGGGCCGUGCCCCUGCUCCCUUGCUGCUCUGGCGGCUUGUGGGGAAUUACAUGGGUACAGAGUACCUGGUGUGUGCCUGGCCAGUAGUGGGCGCUCAGAGGGCACAGCCCUCACCCCUCUGCUCCUGCCCAUACCUGGACCAAAGCUGUGGUCUGCACAAAAUCAGGCCAA